rnacentral:rRNA from 1 species
CCUGCCAGUAGUCAUAUGCUUGUCUCAAAGAUUAAGCCAUGCAAGUCUAAGUAUAAUUGUUUUACGGUGAAACUGCGAAUGGCUCAUUAAAUCAGUUAUAGUUUAUUUGAUGCUAUAGACCGAAAGGUCACUACAUGGAUAUCUGUAGUAACAUAGAGCUAAUACAUGCAAUAUAGUCUGACUUUUUGGAAGGACUAGCACUUAUUAGAUAUUAAACCAGUCCCAGCAAUGGGUUUUAUGGUGAUUCAUAGUAACUGAACAAAUCACAUGGUCUCGUACCGGUGAUGUUUCAUUCAAUAUUCUGCCCUAUCAACUAGAUGGUAGUAUAUAGGACUACCAUGGUUGUAACGGGUAACGGAGGAUUAGGGUUUGAUUCCGGAGAAGGAGCAUGAGAAACGGCUACUAUUCUAAGGAAAG